UACAUUAAAUCUUCUCAAGCAACAGAAGUAGAAAACCAGAAGAGAAACACAUCUUGCAGAUGGUAGCAACGGCACCCCAGUAUUCCCCCUGAAUGCAUUUAUACAUUUUCAUAACCCCUUGUUCUGUCUUAAUAGUCUCAAGUUCUACAGCUCCUUUCUCAGAAAUACUUUAUAUUCACUUUCAAGCAGCAUGUAGGCACUGUGGAUUUUUUUUCAGCUUAAUAUGAAGAACCUACAUGGAAUCUCUUCUUUUCUAUUGUUGCUUUUUUUACCUCCAGAUGUUCAAUUACCUAUGAGAGUACUCAAGGAAACAUAGCUCAGCACAUGGUUGAUCUCCAAGCAGGCCUUGGUUCUUAUAAGAAGACCUUGUAGGAGGAAGGCUCCUUUUUCCCUGCAGCCCUAGUAAGCAGCCUGGAAACAUAUCAGGCAAUUGGUUUUAAAGGUCAAGAGGAAAUCCCACAUGGGCUUCCUGCUGCUCGGUGGCUUCCAGCUGGCUUUUGCUCUAAGGAUGUGAGCCUAGGGAGACUUCACUUGUGUUUGUACAGUACGUUGUACUUACGAAGCGCUGAUCCAGAAUGCUCGAAGAAGCCAUCCGGAAGGAAGAAAGAUUAUGAGUAUCUAGGAACUAGCUGUUUGACAGAGACAGAAAUGCUGAUAAUGAGUGGGUUGUGUCUGUCGUUUUUGGCUGAUCACAACAGAGGUCUGAAGCAAAACAGAAACUCUUGAUAUGUUUGUGUAAAGAGGCAGUAGCAUAAGCACGGGCAGCAGGAGUUCAGCUGAAGUUCAGGGCAGAUGCUGCUAUUAGUUUACACUGCAGGAAAGU
rnacentral:lncRNA from 1 species